AGCUUUAUAGUCAAUUGUGUAUGAUGUUAGAUUGCAAAUCUAAAGUUGAAUUAAAUUUCUAAAGUUU
rnacentral:tRNA from 1 species